CAUAAUUGUGUAGCUACUCUGCUGCUGCUUCUGAAUGGAGGGCACUUCUUUUAGUGACACACCUAGCAGAAGAAAAUAUGUCAGGUACUUAUAUGGCCCCCAUUACCAUAGUACCUGAGCAGCUCCUGUGAAGUGCUGUCAUCACCACAUCACAGAUGGAGGACUAAGGUAGAGACUCUAGAGAGAAGUGAAAUGACUUGCCGAAGGUCCCACAGAAAGUCUACGGCAGAGCAGGGAAUAGAACCCAGGUCUUCAAGUCUCAGGUUCAAGAGAUGUGCAGUCAAUAUUACUCCUUCAGCUAUCAACAGAAGGCAAUGAAGAAUGGGCAUGGACAAUUUUUAUGUUGAGAAGACAAUUUUUAUGUUGAGGAGAACUUCUACCACCUUAAAAAAAAUCAAAAUAUGGGGAUGGGGAACAGGUAGGAAGGACAGCCCAUUGAUUAGGGCAUUAGCCUAGGACUUGGUAGACUUGGGUUUAAGACUCUGCUGCACCACAGACUUCCUCUGUGACUUCGGGUAAGUCACUUAGCCUCUCUGUGCCUCAGUUUCCCAUCUGUAAAUUGGAGAUAACAACACUUCCCUACCCCUCAGGGGUGUCAUGAGGGAAAUACUUCAAAGAUUAAUGCAUUCAGGACCAGAUUUUCAAAGAUAUUUAGGCACCUAAAAUGCAGAUAUGCACCUAUUAGGAUUUUAAAAAGCACCUAACUCCUACUGAGAAUUAGGCCCAAGGUGAACUGAGUUGGGCUCCCAGAAACUGAAAUACUAAAAAAUUCUAAAAUAACUUCUGAAAACUUGGGCCUGGAUUUCUUUUAUUAAUGCAGCUGUCACAUCCCUUUGUGGGCUACAUAAAGAAAGCCCUGCUUCAAGUCAUGGUGAUACUACUAACCAAUUCCAAACAACGCCCAGCAUUCUCUGUUCCUGAAAUGGGAUACUGCAGAGAAAAAUGGAGCCUAAAAAAAUAGGUUUGAUACAUCAUAACAAAUGCUGUGUCUUUCAGAAAGCCCUAUGAAAACAGAGCGUACACUGAGGAAAAAAGAGUUACCAAAAAACAUUUCAAACCUCAAAAAACAGUUGUGUGGGUCCCAUUCAAGAUCUGGAAAAGGUUCAUGGUGGUUCCUAUUUUGCCUGAAACAGCUGACCGCGUCUUAAGGCACAUGAAGUUAAAAACACCUUCAGUUCAUUUUACUUGUAAAUACUACAAACAGGGCAUCUAUGCACUUCAUAAUACCAUAAUGAAACAGGACAAGGAGCAGUAAACAACACAAACAAAAUGAAUAAGGUAACAUGCAUAUCUCAAGGUUCUGAUGACAUUAGAUACAGUUAAGAGUUAGUUUUCAUGGCUAUCAUGACAUCAUCAGAACUCCUUACUAUAUGUACAUCAUCAUUACACUAUGUGCUGAUCUCUCCCUGGAGGCACUGGUGUGUGCACAAGUGGCACUGUCUGAAUUAGGGAGUAGUAGCCCUUAUCUGACAGACAUCCAGAAGACCUAGGGAAGAACUAUGGAGCCCCUCAUCCCCUAGAGGACAAUGUAGGAGGAAUGGGGAUAGGCUUUAGGGCACCAAAAAACCCCUCCAUUUAAGAAAAGGUUGGGUGGACCCCAGGACAGGGAGGACAGUGGCAAGAGCGUGAGGCAAAGCUAUGUGAAUACCAUCUAUUCAAGUUUAGGACUGUUUUCUCUUAACAGAACCUAAACCCAUUAUAAUUUUGGUGAGUUCACAAUUGUAUAUGAUCCUUUCUCAUAGCCUUGCAUGAGUCCAUCUGUAUAAAUGACCUUUCCCUCUGAAUUGUAGCAUGACUCAUUUCACUCAAACCACCAAGCUGUGGGUUGUACACAGCCUUCUAUUUGCGGACUUAUUCCUGUCCACUUACGAGAUGAGUGAACAUAAUGCUUCAACAAAUACCUAGGGGGAUUUCAACAUAUGGUAUAUGUCUACCCAGUCAUCCAACAAGUAUGUGAAAUUGGUUGUAAGGAGCUUAGAGCAGACUGUACAAUAACCAGAUGUCUGAUUAAUCUAAUGCCUACAUAACGGGCAAAGAACUGACAACUCAUCAUAUUAAGUCACUGGUAGCCUUUGACAUUUUUCAUUUAAUUAAGUACAUUCUUUCAAAUUCCUAAGUAACCUAAUAAUUCAGUUUGUGGCAUCAAUAGAUCUAGCAAUGUAACACUGACUACAUUUUUUUAAAACACAAGCAUAAAGGUAUAGGAAACAAGACUCCAUUUCUCAGAUGUGCAAUACCAAAUUAGUGCUUUGUGUUGUC